GACGAACCGAGCGAACGUUGUUCGGAAUCACUGGGCUUAAAGGGCGCGUAGGCGGGUGCUCAAGUCCGUGGUGAAAUCCUCCGGCUCAACCGGAGAACUGCCUCGGAUACUGGGCGUCUCGAGUGUGGUAGGGGGUAUGCGGAACUAUCGGUGGAGCGGUGAAAUGCGUUGAUAUCGAUAGGAACUCCGGUGGCGAAGGCGGCAUACUGGACCACCACUGACGCUGAUGCGCGAAAGCCAGGGGAGCGAACGGG
rnacentral:rRNA from 1 species